AACCUGUGGAUAAAACAAUGAAUAAUUAUGUAGAUAUCUAUAAUAAUUGUUAUCAUUUAUGAAUAUUCAACUUUCGGUGUGGACACUAGUAAUGAGUUGUCUAUCCAACUAGUCACUAACUCAUAUAUCGUGACCUGGAUAUAAUUAUACAGUUCAUUUAGUCUAGAGAGUAGAUUAUCACAAAUGUAUGAGUAGUUGUACUUAAAUGUAAAUAUCUUUUCUAAGAAAUGGUGUUGAUACCCAUGUGUAGAUGAAUGACUGAACUACAACAUAUCCAAAAAUGUUUCCAUGGAAACAUAAGGUGGUGAGUUUGUGGUGAUUAAUAGAACAACAGCAAAUUGUUAUAGUGGGAAUCGGUUAGAGUAAUAAAACGGUAAUCUUGUACAGCUAAGGUCCUAGACUUCAUCACAUAAUUGUUCAAUGGUUUAGGUAUCCUGACCAUCCCUUUAUGGGUCUUAAACGAGCAUGCUGACUAUAAAAGGGGCGUGCCCUGGGCACUCGAGGCGGAAAUGAUUAAAUAUGGCCGCGUGCGGUAAACUCUCUGGCCUCCUUUUGCUUCACUGCUUGCUUCAUGCACACAUGGUUUUACUUUGAUACGCCCCUUAUAGCCUGCAUGUAGCACCUUGGCUCACGAGAUACUUUGUUCAAAAAAGAGCAAAAAAAUGGCUGAAAGAUGUGACAACUCUCGUUCUCUACCCAAGAAGAAGCGUGCUAGGCAUGGUUUUCGGUACCAAAUGGAGCUGAAUUUCGAUACUGAAGAUGCAAUUAAAGCAGGCUUUUGUAGCUAGGAUAGAUAGGGCAAAGCGUUCUCUUGCUGCUACAGCUAGAGGCUCAUUGCCCUUGGACAGCAGAGAGCUUAUUUCUGUUUUGUUGGACAAGUUGGAGCAGGAGCAGGAGCAGGCAGGUGCUGUUCCUGAGAGAGAAGACCUACAAUCUGAUAAAUCCAAAGUCUUCCCAAUGUUGGAGAAUUCAGGAAUAUUUACUGGCAAUACUGACGCUAGUGAUGAACAGUUGUUCGUGUGUGAACUGAAGACUUUGUUCUGUCUUUUCACUGGCCUAUCCCAAGCAUGUGACCAGUGCCAAUCUUAUUGUCGUAGGCCGACCAAUUUUCGCCAGAACGGGCAUGUUGUCCGAUUUGAAUUCAAGUGUGGAAAAUGUGGAAAGUGACAGUGGUGGGCUAGCUCGCGAACACUCGGUGGACGAUACCUUGUCAAUCAAAAGAUCGUCCAUGGUUUUACUUGUGCUGGAGUUCUCCCAAGCCAGUACCUUCACUUUAGUAGUCAUGCUGGCUUGGGAAAAGUUAGUUCAUGGUAUAUUUCGUCAAUGUACAAGAAAGGUGGAUACUUAGACGUCGUGAACGCUUGUGCCAAGGCAUCCAUGUUGAGAGCGAUUGACGAAGUGAAGGCAUUACCUGGUUACUCGCAGGACGGUGAGUGGGUAAUAACAGAUGCUCGCCACGACUCAACAGCAAAUGCUUAUCACACGACUGUUCCCUGCCUCUCGGGAAGUACGAAAAGAAUUGUUGGGUGUUCGACUGUUUCCAGGAAAGAACACAUCUGUGCUCAGACUCGAGAAGUAGCGUGUACUAAGAUAGUUCUUCCGGAAGUCAUAGAUAAAGGUCUCAAUAUUGUUGAAGUAGCGCAUGAUAAUCAGCCUGUAGUCAAGAGAUUUGUCACUGAUGAUCUCAACCUUACAAACUCGUACGACACAUGGCAUGGCACUAAGAAUGUAGCGAAGAAUAUGAAGAAAGUAGCAAUUGGGACCAAAAAGGCUCAAGGAAAGACGUGGUUUCCAGAGUUAUCUGACAAGCGUAAAAGUACGAAAGUUCACUUGUACUACUGUAUGAAGAACUGUGAGCAGUCAGCAGACAAUCUAAGAAAGAACAUUCUGAAUAUCGUUAAACAUUUUCAGAACGAGCACUCAGAUUGUAACGAAGCGUCACCCUGUAAGCGUCCAGGGUACAAGCCCACGAAGAUAAAACUAGAGGAUCCUCUUGCAAUCGAGUCAUUCACGUCAGCACUAAAAGACACCCUUAUUUACAAGAAUGCCGAAUCAUAUUGUCGAUGUCGAGACACAUUCUGGGUGGAGUCUUUCAAUCACCAGCUGCUCACAUACAUCUCAAAACGUGUACACUUCGGGGAAGCUACAUUCAACAUGAGAAUGGACCUUGCUAUUAUGGACUGGAACGAGAAUGUACGUAGAGAGUGUACAAGUGAACGACUGGUUCAGGACAUGAAAAGACCGGAUCGUAGGACUCCCAUGAGAGUGCUGAAGGAAAAAUCGUUCAACUUUGCCGAAGAAAUAUGGGAGAAUUACGAGCAGCAGAGAAAAGUUGACCUCAGUGAGUUUGUAGAGGACGUGCAACCUGAGCAAUCAGAUGAGCCAGUAGAUGAAAACGAGGACCUAGUAAACGAUGGUGUACAUGUACUUGACGAAGAUCUUUAUGAAGACAUAUAAAGAAGUAGAAGACUGGAAGUCUGUGUAUGGAACUCCAUAUCUGGAUUCGGAAAUCGUUCACGCACCUCCUGGAAAAGGUGCAGCGCUUCCAAUCAGCCAGCUGGGUGGUCUGGCUCUGACACACGGUGACAGGUGGCAGUACGGGCAGGGACCCUCUCCGUUCAAGACCGGAGGAUCAACGUGAUCAUACCCUCCGGGACCUAAGGAAAGUACCACUCAUUUUAUUCAUAUGUACAGGUUAGUGACAUUCACCUUUCUUAGGCCUCGAAGGACCGGCUUCACCCCCAACCGUCCUUACUCGAGAAACACCUGUGCAAAAGAUAAGUGAUCGUCAUCCAUAUCACGUGAUAAUUAUUGAAAUUAAUUCCUCUAGAAUUACCUCUCUUUGGCCUCUUCACUGGAGGGGGAGCAGCUUCACCACUGGCACUGGAUGUAUUACUGCUUGACACUGAUGUGUUACCUUCGGAUGGCGCCGAAUCAAUUUCGUCAAGAGUGACGUCGGGAAACAGCGCAAGCAACUUCUGGAACUCCUCCAGAAAGUGCACUGGAGGAUGCUGGCUGUACCGUACCUGAAACUGAAUAGAUGUACAUUUUAUCUUCUUUCUUAUUUAUGUAAUGGGCUUCUGUGGUACCUUGAGUCUUGCUUGCGCUUGUUCUGUAUAAGUAGCCAUUAUGUGUUUUUUGUUUG